rnacentral:rRNA from 1 species
CAGUCGCCGCGGUAAUACGGAGGGAGCUAGCGUUGUUCGGGAUCACUGGGCGUAAAGCGCACGUGGGCGGCUAUUCAAGUCAGUGGUGAAAGCCCGGGGCUCAACCCCGGAACUGCCUUUGGAACUAGAUAGCUUGAAUCUUGGAGAGGCGAGUGGAAUUCCGAGUGUAGAGGUGAAAUUCGUAGAUAUUCGGAAGAACACCAGUGGCGAAGGCGACUGACUGGACAAGUAUUGACGCUGAGGUGCGAAAGCGUGGGGAGCAAACAGGAUUAGAUACCCGGGUAGUCCCUGUCUCUUAUAC